GCCUUCGUGGUGUAGUGGUCAGUACGCUCGACGCGUAACCGAGAGGUCCGUGGUUCGAUUCCCGGCGAAGGUA
rnacentral:tRNA from 1 species